rnacentral:misc_RNA from 1 species
GUCAGAGACUUAAAGAGAAGCACAUGCACGUGUGUGUAUUUGUAUGCUUUUAGGUGUAUAUGUAUAUUUUUUGCUGUCUGAACUGAUUCUGAAAUGAAAUUAUCCUGUUGACUUCCAGUCUUAUACCCAGAAUACUGGGAUCUUGUUAUAAAUUUUCACAUUCUGUAGGGGCUUGUAUAUGAAUUUCUGACAGUUCUAUAAAUUAGUUAUAAAAGUGUGUGUGUAAUAUUUAUGGUUUGGGUUGGGAUGAUAACCAUAUCUUUCCUAUCAUUUUCUUUCCACCGUUGUUGACCUGUUGACAUUUGUUAGGCUACAUUUAUUUGGCAUUCUUCUCCUCUCCUCUUGCCCCCCAACUCAGCUUUACUUCUUUCCUUUCUGAUGUACGUUUCUAGAUGAUAAAAAGAGAAGAAGAAUGGCACUUCGUUAUGUAUUUACAUUCCUUAUUUAUUUUCUUUCCUCUCUUAACUUUUGUGGGUAGAUUAGGGUGUACCCCUAAAAUGAAUUUUCU